rnacentral:rRNA from 1 species
GACGAACGCUGGCGGCGUGCUUAACUCAUGCAAGUCGAGCGAUGAAGUUCCUUCGGGAACGGAUUAGCGGCGGACGGGUGAGUAACACGUGGGUAACCUGCCUCAUAGAGGGGAAUAGCCUUUCGAAAGGAAGAUCAAUACCCCAUAAGAUUGUAGUACCGCAUGGUAUAGCAAUUAAAGGAGUAAUCCGCUAUGAGAUGGACCCGCGUCGCAUUAGCUAGUUGGUGGGGUAACGGCUCACCAAGGCGACGAUGCGUAGCCGACCUGAGAGGGUGAGCGGCCACAUUGGGACUGAGACACGGCCCAGACUCCUACGGGAGGCAGCAGUGGGGAAUAUUGCACAAUGGGGGAAACCCUGAUGCAGCAACGCCGCGUGAGUGAUGACGGUCUUCGGAUUGUAAAACUCUGUCUUCAGGGACGAUAAUGACGGUACCUGAGGAGGAAGCCACGGCUAACUACGUGCCAGCCGCCGCGGUAA